GCCGCGUUAGCGUGAGCGUGCUAAGGUAGCGUAAUAAUUAGCCUUUUAAUUGGAGGCCAGUGAAUGGCAAAACGAGGAAUAUCUGUACUUUAUGUAUCACAAAAACUUUUCUUCUAAUUGAAAAGACUUAGAUAACAAAGGAAGACGAAUAGACCCCGCGGAACUUCACCUUUUCUUAUACCUCUACAUACCACCCUUAAAAGUAUACAAGGUUUGAUUGGGGCAAUCUUGGAACCAAUAGAGCUUCCUAACUUCCGGGCGACGCUAUACGAAUUUAUUAAGGACCAAAAAGUAGUUACCCCGGGGAUAACAGCGAAGUCCACCUCAAGAGUACACAUCAAAUGUUGGGUUUGCAACCUCCAUGUUGGCUAAAGGACAUCCACAUAACUGCAACCACUAUGAUAGGAUAGUCUGUUCAACCAUUGUACCCUAACGUGAUCUCAUUCUACAGAGUGUGGAGAUCAGGACAUCCUAAUGGUGCAGCCGCUAUUAAGGGUUCGUUUGUUCAACGAUUAAAGUCCUACGUGAUC
rnacentral:rRNA from 1 species